rnacentral:rRNA from 1 species
UAUAUGCUUGUCUCAGAGAUUAAGCCAUGCAUGUCUAAGUACAUACCUUGAAACGGUGAAACCGCGAAUGGCUCAUUAAAUCAGCUAUGGUUCCUUGGAUCGUACAUACUACAUGGAUAACUGUAGUAAUUCUAGAGCUAAUACAUGCCACUAUGCCCUGACCCGCGAGGGAACGGGUGGAUUUAUUAGAACAGAACCAACCGGGGGCGGCUUCGGUCGUACCUGUUGCUUUUUG